GUCCAGGGUUAGUUCCUUGAGUUGGUUCUAAUUUCAGAAAAGAAUAAGAAUACUUUGGUUCACAUGUGUAUCCUCAAUGUCUGUCAGUAUUUUAAGGAUAAUAGUAAUGUCCCAUAGAUUCCUGGGUUGUCUUUGAAACCUUCUGUGGGUCUGGGGACUCUGCUGGGGACCCAGGCUGGGCAUCCCUGCUCUAGAGUUUGAUGGUCCAUAUUCCAGGAAGCUGGGUGGUUGUCCCACAAGAAAAGGUUGUAGAAGAGCCUUCUAGGCAGAAGAUAGGGUUGAUUCUGCUGUGGGUUCCUCUUAGUGCCCCAUGUUACUUUUUAGCAAGGCUGAUCCCAUGAUAGCCCUGGUUGUGCCAGGCCUAUUUGGCUCCUCAUGCUCAUGCCUCCCACUUGGACUCAAGCCAGACCUGGAUCCUGAAAGCCCAAUCAUGGAGUAUUUUAGGAGCCCCAUCCACAAAGAUUGAAGAAAGAGGAUUAUUUUGCUUGCCUGUGAUUGGUUUCUGUAGAAGAGCAGGGUUGGUUUCUGUAGAAGAGCAGAACGGAAGCAACUUCACCACUCUAUACCAAUGGCAUUUCUGAGUGGACAAGCUGAAAUUCAGUAAUGUCUCCAAGCAUCGUGGCUCUUCUCUCAAAAUGAACUUUGAGGCUGCUAACCCUGCAUGACGUAGCCUACGGGACACUCCACUCCCUCCCUGUUCUCAUCAAACAAGAGAAGUUGCACAAGCUGGAGGGGCAGCUGGAUCACAGUUUAUGCUGCCCCCAGGAUACAUCUUUCAUCCUAAUGGUGCUUAUUCAGCUGUGGGGAUGCAUUGGUAUCUAGCUGAUUUUUGAAAAAGUGCAAAAAUCCAUUUAAAAACACAACCAAAUCCUCCUUUUGAGAUAGGGGCCUUGUGUGGGGGUGGGGAGGAAAAGGAUGAGAAAAAUUUCCAUCUUAUUUUCUGAUAUUCUUUGCUUUGUGGGUGAAUACUUACAGAGAUGCCUGCAGGCGGUUUUCCAGAGCCCGUUUCUGAUCAAAGUCAAUAAAGCUCUUUCUCUAUGUAGGAAGGAAGCUCUCUUUUAGACUACUUUCUUACUUUGUGCUUUCUUAUGUAGAUAAGUCAUCUAAAAUCACACAACCACAGGUCCUUAUCUGUCAGGGCCUGGUAGCUAGCACUAGUGACUUUUUUUUUAAUCCAAUAAACAUGAAUUAAGUUAUUUCGAUGGUGCCAGGCACUGAGACAGCUAUCUAUUAGGGAUAGAGGGAUUCAGAGGAAAAACAAACAGCUGCCCUUUCUAUUUGUGUGUGUGUGUUCCUACUAUGUGCCAGGUAUAGUAACUUUUGUGUAAUAGUAAUGAGAAAAAGCAAUUUAAAAAUUAUUUCCAUUUUAUAGAAAUGUAGAAGUGGAAACUCUGGGAAGUGAAAUAAUUUGCCUAAGAUCAUUCAGGAAGGUAUUCAGUGUUUGAGCUGAGCUUUCUGAUAUUGGCCACUAGAGAGGAGUGGAAUAAAGAAGAAAGGGCACCUUGGGAAGAAUUAUUGGUAUAACAAAAGCAGGGGGUGGUGAUGGGGAGAUGGGAGGGCCAGAUCAGGUUCUGCAAAGAGUUUUGUGCAUUGUCAUUUGAACCGUAAUGAGAGAGAAGGUUGGAUUGGGAGGAAAACUUGAUAACAUGAAGUAAGGUUUGGAAUACCAAGCUCUGCCAGUUGAAAUUCAUUCUUAAACACCUGGAUUUAUUCCUGUCAACAACUGUAAUAUAGAUUAAUUAUAGGUAAGACUAAGUUAAAAAAGAUAAUCUGUGAAAUAAUCCAUCAGUGAUUUUUAUUGUGUUUCUCCAUUAUAAAACCAGUGCAUACCCAUUAUAAACAUUUUUGGAGUGUCAAAAAAAAAAAUAGAAAGAAAAAAAUUUCUCAGUGCAGCUACUAUGCACCAUUUGGUCCCUUUCUUUUUAGUCUUUUUUUUCUUCCCUUCUAAACGCUUGGGUUGUUUGGUUUACAUAAUUAUCAUUAUAUUGUAAAUAAAACUUAGUACCACUUUUCACUUACUAUUGUAACAUAUAAUUUUAUUUUACAUGCUAUAAGGUCUCUAAAACUUACAUUUCAUGAUUGUAAUCCACUCAUUGAAUAUACCACACUUAAUAUAAACAAGACUUUAGAGUUGGAUAUUUAGUUGUUUUGUACUUUUCACACCUGAUCAAUAACACUUUGAUGAAAAUGUGCUUUAAGAUUUUCUAAAAAUUCAAAUAAUUUCUAUAAGAUGAUUUUCCGGGAGUGCUGCUACCAAAUGAAAGGUCACAUGUACUUUUCAGCUCUUCUGUCAUAAAACCAACUUAAGUCUUUUGUUUUUGUUUUUGUUUUAGAGUACCAACAAUUUGUCUGGUUAUGUGCUAGGCUGACUCAAGAAUCUCCAUUCUAGUGAGAUCGCUAAAAACAAUAUGAAAUAUCAUACAAUGUUGGUGAUGAGGAAUAUUACGAACCUGUGUCCCAUGUCAUGAUGAAUCAGACUUUCUGCAUCACAUAUCAUGAUGAGUCAUGACUUUCAGAGCUGGAAGGACCCUCAGAAAAGAAUCCGGUCUUGGCCCAAAGCUGCAGUGGGCAAAGUAUUUUAGAGCAGGCAGCAAAGGCCAGUACAAAGCAUGUAUUGAGUAAAUGGCACAGCAGUUUUCAGAUCUCUAAAAUCAUCACCUCUGGGUCAUUUCUAGCAUAAAAGGUCUAUGAUACCAAGACCAGCCCUCUGGCUCUAUCUGCUUAAAGCUGGAAUUCUUAGCAUUUGAUACAGCCCCAUUUACAGAAGCAUAGCAUACUCCCUCAUAUAAGUCAAUCAAUUAAGAGACAGUGUUCCAUCAGAAUUUCCAAUG
ensembl:lncRNA